rnacentral:tRNA from 1 species
GGAUAAUGACUCAGUGGUAGAGUGCUCUCCUAGCAUGCGUGGGACACUGGGUUCGAUCCUCAGCACCA